UCUCUCUCUCUCUCUCUCUCUCUCUCUCUCUCUCUCUUUCUCACGCUUACACGUGCAACAUCUUGAAAAGUUAUCGCCAUGAUCAAAUGAAUCUUAGAAAUAGAAACUGCAACAGAUGAAGGUUUAGAAAGAGAGAGAAAAACAGUGACGUCGGUGAAUAUUUACAAGUAGGUAUAGCAAUACAUAAGCGCAGAUAGGGAGUUACCAAUACAUUUUUAUUCUUGCUUUGCAUAUAUGAAUGAAUAAAUGCUUUAAAGACAGGAAUACUAAUGAAGUUUAUGGUAAGAAAUCGUUUUUUCCAAGUUUAAUUAUCAUUAGAGAUGUCAAAUGUUGAUGACUUUGUUUAUGCAUGAGUGACACUCUUUGUCUAGUCUUAUUACCUCUAUGUAAUUAGAAGAAAUGAAUAAAUAAUCUUAUCCGAUUUUAGAUUUUUAUUUGAAUACAUAGCAUGUAUUAAGUGUUAAUAUCAAAUAGACACAGUGAGUUCA